rnacentral:tRNA from 1 species
GGAGAGUAAAGCUCAAGUGUAGAGCUCAUAUUUAGCAUGUAGGAGGACCUGGGUUCAAUCCCCAGUACCUCCA